rnacentral:rRNA from 6 species
AGAGUUUGAUCAUGGCUCAGAUUGAACGCUGGCGGCAGGCCUAACACAUGCAAGUCGAACGGUAACAGGAAGCAGCUUGCUGCUUUGCUGACGAGUGGCGGACGGGUGAGUAAUGUCUGGGAAACUGCCUGAUGGAGGGGGAUAACUACUGGAAACGGUGGCUAAUACCGCAUAACGUCGCAAGACCAAAGAGGGGGACCUUCGGGCCUCUUGCCAUCAGAUGUGCCCAGAUGGGAUUAGCUUGUUGGUGAGGUAACGGCUCACCAAGGCGACGAUCCCUAGCUGGUCUGAGAGGAUGACCAGCCACACUGGAACUGAGACACGGUCCAGACUCCUACGGGAGGCAGCAGUGGGGAAUAUUGCACAAUGGGCGCAAGCCUGAUGCAGCCAUGCCGCGUGUAUGAAGAAGGCCUUCGGGUUGUAAAGUACUUUCAGCGGGGAGGAAGGUGUUGUGGUUAAUAACCGCAGCAAUUGACGUUACCCGCAGAAGAAGCACCGGCUAACUCCGUGCCAGCAGCCGCGGUAAUACGGAGGGUGCAAGCGUUAAUCGGAAUUACUGGGCGUAAAGCGCACGCAGGCGGUCUGUCAAGUCGGAUGUGAAAUCCCCGGGCUCAACCUGGGAACUGCAUUCGAAACUGGCAGGCUUGAGUCUUGUAGAGGGGGGUAGAAUUCCAGGUGUAGCGGUGAAAUGCGUAGAGAUCUGGAGGAAUACCGGUGGCGAAGGCGGCCCCCUGGACAAAGACUGACGCUCAGGUGCGAAAGCGUGGGGAGCAAACAGGAUUAGAUACCCUGGUAGUCCACGCCGUAAACGAUGUCUACUUGGAGGUUGUGCCCUUGAGGCGUGGCUUCCGGAGCUAACGCGUUAAGUAGACCGCCUGGGGAGUACGGCCGCAAGGUUAAAACUCAAAUGAAUUGACGGGGGCCCGCACAAGCGGUGGAGCAUGUGGUUUAAUUCGAUGCAACGCGAAGAACCUUACCUGGUCUUGACAUCCACGGAAGUUUUCAGAGAUGAGAAUGUGCCUUCGGGAACCGUGAGACAGGUGCUGCAUGGCUGUCGUCAGCUCGUGUUGUGAAAUGUUGGGUUAAGUCCCGCAACGAGCGCAACCCUUAUCCUUUGUUGCCAGCGGUCCGGCCGGGAACUCAAAGGAGACUGCCAGUGAUAAACUGGAGGAAGGUGGGGAUGACGUCAAGUCAUCAUGGCCCUUACGACCAGGGCUACACACGUGCUACAAUGGCGCAUACAAAGAGAAGCGACCUCGCGAGAGCAAGCGGACCUCAUAAAGUGCGUCGUAGUCCGGAUUGGAGUCUGCAACUCGACUCCAUGAAGUCGGAAUCGCUAGUAAUCGUGGAUCAGAAUGCCACGGUGAAUACGUUCCCGGGCCUUGUACACACCGCCCGUCACACCAUGGGAGUGGGUUGCAAAAGAAGUAGGUAGCUUAACCUUCGGGAGGGCGCUUACCACUUUGUGAUUCAUGACUGGGGUGAAGUCGUAACAAGGUAACCGUAGGGGAACCUGCGGUUG